AAGUUUUAGGGAGCCAUCUAACACUUAGUACUUCUUUUCCCAUCUCCUACUACCUAAGUCGGGACAAAGCGUCUGCUUAUUUUUCUGCUUGGUCUAAACACUGCUAGAUUGACGAAAUACACUAAUGCAUGGAGUAGAAACAGAGGGGCCAUCUGUGAGACCAGAAGUUGGGGCAACACAAAUGAUUUAUAGACAAAGGUAUGGCAAGUACAAACUAAUUUGGCUUCUCUGCAAGAAUGCUAGAUCGUAGAAAUGUACAAACCAUCCUUCAGAAGAGUAAAAGACUAAGCCAUCUACAGUUGUAACUGUCAGUGAAUGGCCAAGACUUAACCGCAGUGGAGCCUUUUCAGCAGUCUAUUAUUAGACUUAAUUUUUAAAACCUAAUCACCAGAGAUGCCUGAGUCUGUUGACUUAGUUUGACAAGAAAUCUGUGCAUUUUUA
rnacentral:lncRNA from 1 species